AGCCUUGGCCGACAGGCCCGGGUAAUCUUUGAAAUUUCAUCGUGAUGGGGAUAGAUCAUUGCAAUUGUUGGUCUUCAACGAGGAAUUCCUAGUAAGCGUGAUUCAUCAGAUCGCGUUGAUUACGUCCCUGCCCUUUGUACACACCGCCCGUCGCUCCUACCGAUUGAAUGGUCCGGUGAAGUGUUCGGAUCGC
rnacentral:rRNA from 15 species